AUUUCAUUAAAUCCUUCAUUUUGCAGGGGAAGAAACUGAACUCCAAAGAGAUUGUGGUUUGCUCAAGUUCACAAAGUUUAUUAGUAGCAAGCAUAGAACUAGAACCCAAGUCUUCCCAAUCCUAAACCCUUUUUCCUAUUCUAGUCUGUGAUGCAAGAAAUUAGAGGACUUUAAGCUCAGCCUCAAAAUACGUGUCCAGCCUGACUUUUUGUGGUUGUGUCUCCUUAAUUCUCAAAAGAAACAAGCUGCAACAACCAAGGCCAGGGGAUUCUGUCUUUGUUAGCCGUGUCUCUAGUUUCUACUUUCAAAAAACGACAAUAAGUCUUAAGAUCUUAUGAUCUAUAAUAAUUGUGUGAGUGUGUGUGUGUGUGUGUGUGUGUAUUUUGCCCAUGCUAUUAUAUGCCAGGUGCUAUGCUAGGUUCUGGGAAUCUAAAGAAUGAAACAAUCCCUGCUCUCAAGGAACUUACAUUCUACAUGGGGAAAAUGAGUAUAUAUGCACAUGUUUACUUGUCAAGGGCAUAAAUCUUCAGAAUCUAUGAAAGGCAGUUGAUGAGUAAGUCUGCUCUACCAAGUUAUUUACCUGAGGCACAGGUUGGCCUUUGUAAUAGGGAAAGUAUAAAGAGAACACAAGAUGGAAAGUUGGCUUUAAGAAACUGGCGUUGGCACAUGCCAGGAACUUUGGAGGAAGUAUUCUAGAAGCUAAGGGGUAGAGAAAGAAGGGUUAAUGGAGAGGCAACUGUCACUUGGUCCUUGGUCUUGGUCUUGGACUGUGACUUGGUCCUGGGUCUCAGUCUUAGACUGCCACUUUGACCCUGGUCCUGCUCAAGCAGAGGGAGGAAGAGCUGCUUCUAGGAGCUUUUCCUUUCUGAAGACUGAUAGGAAAGACAGAGGACAACCCUUCAAUUGUUCCUGGUGGUUCCUGAUCAGCUGGAGAGCAGUUUGGAGCAGAUCUGGUUAUCCCUGCUGUCUGCAAAUUGGUUGAAUGAUGAAGGCAGAAGUUGUCUUUACUGCCACCUGUUGCUGUGAAGAAGAAAAGGAAGGACUAGACAGAUUCUGCUUUCUAUUGUGAAUGGUUACUAAGAAGAAUAAGUAGAGAAAACAUAUUCUAGUCUUUAUUAGAUUUGCUGCUGAGAAGAGAGAAGGUCAUCUUAUGCAUUGCUAUCUGCGGUGGGGAAAAGUCCUGAAAAGGAAGAGCUUUAAUAAUAAGGAUCAUUUUCUUUUCCAAAAAGAGUCAAUAUAAUGAAUGACUAACAAUAACAAUAAUUAUAAUGAAUUAUAAAUAAUACAUAUUAGAUAUAUAAUUGAAUAUAUAUACUAAUUAUAAUUUAUAAUUACUUAUAAUAAUGUCUAAAAGAGCAAAAAUAAUUAUUACUUCAGCUUAAGGCAUUAUCUAAGCUUGGAGCGGGAAGAGAUGGAUAUUAAGGAGUCAAGGAGUCAAUUCAACUGAGCAAAGUAUUAACUUGAAAAUAAAGCAUCAGAACAUGUAUAACCCA
rnacentral:lncRNA from 1 species